rfam:Ciona savignyi cont_58167, whole genome shotgun sequence.
GGGGGUGUAACUCAGAUGGUAGAGCGCGCGCUUAGCAUGCGCGAGUUACCAUGAUCGAUACCCGGCACCUCCA